rnacentral:misc_RNA from 1 species
UUUCCGUAGGUGAACCUGCGGAAGGAUCAUUAAAGUUAUAGUCCCCCGGCCCUCUGGGCUGGGGUCUUCUAUACCACCCUUUGUUUAUUACACCUUUGUUGCUUUGGCAGGCCUGCCCUCGGGCUGCUGGCUCCGGCCGGCUCGCGUCUGCAAGAGGACCUAAACUCUGUUUGUAUAUGACGUCUGAGUACUAUAUAAUAGUUAAAACUUUCAACAACGGAUCUCUUGGUUCUG